UACGAAGGGGGCUAGCGUUGCUCGGAUUUACUGGGCGUAAAGGGCGCGUAGGCGGCUGUUCAAGUCAGAGGUGAAAGCCCGGAGCUCAACUCCGGAAUUGCCUUUGAAACUAGAUAGCUUGAAUCCAGGAGAGGUGAGUGGAAUUCCGAGUGUAGAGGUGAAAUUCGUAGAUAUUCGGAAGAACACCAGUGGCGAAGGCGGCUCACUGGACUGGUAUUGACGCUGAGGUGCGAAAGCGUGGGGAGCAAACAGG
rnacentral:rRNA from 1 species